AAAAGGAAUUAACAAAGAUUCCCCCAGUAACGGCGAGUGAAGUGGGAUUUAGCCCAGCACCGAAUCCUAGCGGCCGAAGUGUCGCGUGGACCUGUGGUGUUAGGGGCCCCGGACUUCGUCCUGCUCGUGGCGCCUCAGUUUCAUUGAAAGGGCUGUUGCUCCAGAGCGGGUGUCAGACCCUUGUGCGGCGCACGUGCGGGUGAAGUUCCCAGGGGCCCUACGAGUCGGGUUGUUUGAGAGUGCAGCCCAAAGACGGUGGUAAGCUCCAUCGAAGGCUAAACACUGCCACGAGUCCGAUAGCGAACAAGUACCGUGAGGGAACGUUGAAAAGGACUUCGAAGAGAGAGUUCAAGAGUACGUGAAACCGCCUAAAGGGAAACGAGUGGCUCCGCAUUGUCGGCCUGCGGUGUUCAUCUCGCUCGCUCGGGCGACCGGUCGUUCGACGGUCUUGCUUCUCAGCUCGACCUCGGUGCGAUGCUGGUCAUUCGCUCGGCUUGCGUGUGCAUUUGCCGCGAGGCAGGGCGUCACGAUCGCUUCUUUACGGGCGCGCGUCGGUCGGUGGUCUUGGCGUGUGCGACUCGUCUCCUUCGUGGGACUGUCGACUCGCGCAGACCGCCUUCCCGCGUGUUCGGGAGCGUGUAACGAUCGGCCACGACCUCGCCGGCUGCCGUCUUCGGCGCCGAGACCGGCCGUCGGUUCGCACUCGUGCGACCGCGCGGCUGUCUCGGCUCGGAGCUAGGCGGCUGGCGUUCCGGGCCUUGCAUCGGUGGCGAUUG
rnacentral:rRNA from 1 species